CCUGUGGGCCUUUAGGGUCUCCAGUGUUCCGCUUCCCUUCCCAUCGCUGUGGCUUUCUCCUGAGUCUCAGAAAGUUCGUAUCCCCUACACUACCGGCGCAGCCUGUAUCCCAACCCUGAUUUUACAUCUUUGCUGCCUCCAGGUCGUGAUCUGGCCAAUCCCGUCUCUCCUCAAUUUCCCCAUCAGUAAAAUGGGCUUGAUAAAGCGCUCUCUUACAGAGGGGUUUGCCUUUUUUUUUUUUUUUAAUUUUUUUUUUUUGAGACAAGUUCUCGCUCUGUCUCCUAGGCCGGAGUGCAGUGACACGAUCUCGGCUCACUGCAAACUCCGCCUCCCAGGUUCAAGCGAUUCUCCUACCUCAGCCUCUCGAGUAGCUGGAACUACAGGCAUGCGCCACCACGCCCGGCUAAUUUUUGUAUUUUUAGUAGAGACGAGGUUUCACCAUGUUGGCCAGGCUGGUCUCGAACUCCUGACCUCAGGUGAUCCGCCUGAGUAGGCCUCCCAAAGUGCUGGGAUUACAGGCGUGAGCCACCGCGCCCGGCCCGGUUUGCCUAUUUUAAUAGGAGUGCCUGUAAAGCCCUUGGCGCAUAGUAAUCGCUAAACAUGGCAGUCGAUUAGAAAGGCAAUUGCUGUCGGGGACAGCAAUUGGGGGUAGAAUGUGGAGUAUCCUAUGUUUCUACCACCAUUCAGAAUCCGAUUUUCAAACGAAUUCUGUGAUGAUCAGGAUCAAUCGGCACUAUUUUAGUCUCUACGUGAUUUAAAAUAGAAUUGAACUCAACUGCUCUCCGCUAGAGGUCCCAGCACUUUGGAAUUCCAAGUUUGGUUAAGUUUCCCUCCGAGGCUACUUCUAUCACUCCACUAUCUCUAUGGAUUCCCAAGGAGAACAGCUUCUUCUCCUGGGGCUGGGAAUACAGCAAGGAAGGGGACAGAUGGAGAUGGAGUUUCGCUUUUUCGCCCAGGCUGGAGUGCAAUGGCGCCAUCUCAGCUCACUGCGACCUCUGCCUCCCAGGUUCAAUCGAUUCUCCUGCCUCAGCCUCCCGAGUAGCUGUGAUUACAGGCGCCCACCAUCACGCUCAGCUAAUUUUUGUAUUUUUAAUAGAGACGAGGUUUCACCAUGUUGGCCAGGCUGUUCUUGAACUCCUGACAUCAGGUGAUCCACCCACCUUGGCCCACAGGCAUGAGCCACUGCACCUAGCCCAUAUAGUGUUCUAUUGUUAAUGUAAAAUAAAAAAAAUAAAAGGA